rnacentral:rRNA from 1 species
UAGAGUUUGAUCCUGGCUCAGAACGUACGCUGGCGGCACGCCUAACACAUGCAAGUCGAACGAAGUAGCAAUACUUAGUGGCAGACGGGUGAGUAACAUGUAGGUAUCUGCCCUUUGGCCUGGAAUAACACGAGGAAACUUGUGCUAAUACCGGAUAAGUCUUUACGGAGAAAGCUUUAUGCACCAUUGGAUAAGCCUGCACUUGAUUAGUUUGUUGGUGGGGUAAUGGCCUACCAAGACUGUGAUCAAUAGCUGAUUUGAGAGGAUGAUCAGCCACAUUGGGACUGAGACACGGCCCAAACUCCUACGGGAGGCAGCAGUGGGGAAUCUUGCACAAUGGAGGAAACUCUGAUGCAGCGAUGCCGCGUGAGUGAAGAAGGCCCUUGGGUUGUAAAGCUCUUUCGUCGGGGAAGAAAAUGACUGUACCCGAAUAAGAAGGUCCGGCUAACUUCGUGCCAGCAGCCGCGGUAAUACGAAGGGACCUAGCGUAGUUCGGAAUUACUGGGCUUAAAGAGUUCGUAGGUGGUUGAAAAAGUUGGUGGUGAAAUCCCAGAGCUUAACUCUGGAACUGCCAUCAAAACUUUUCAGCUAGAGUAUGAUAGAGGAAAGCAGAAUUUCUAGUGUAGAGGUGAAAUUCGUAGAUAUUAGAAAGAAUACCAAUUGCGAAGGCAGCUUUCUGGAUCAUUACUGACACUGAGGAACGAAAGCAUGGGGUAGCGAAGAGGAUUAGAUACCCUCGUAGUCCAUGCCGUAAACGAUGUGUGUUAGACGUUGGAAAUUUAUUUUCAGUGUCGCAGCGAAAGCGAUAAACACACCGCCUGGGGAGUACGACCGCAAGGUUAAAACUCAAAUGAAUUGACGGGGACCCGCACAAGUAGUGGAGCAUGUGGUUUAAUUCGAAGAUACGCGCAGAACCUUACCAACACUUGACAUGUUCGUCGCGACUUUAAGAGAUUAAAGUUUUCGGUUCGGCCGGACGAAACACAGGUGCUGCAUGGCUGUCGUCAGCUCGUGUCGUGAGAUGUUGGGUUAAGUCCCGCAACGAGCGCAACCCUCACUUUUAGUUGCCAUCAUUAAGUUGGGCACUCUGAAAGAACUGCCAGUGAUAAGCUGGAGGAAGGUGGGGAUGACGUCAAGUCCUCAUGGCCCUUACGUGUUGGGCUACACACGUGCUACAAUGGUAUCUACAACAGGAAGCAAGACUGCGAAGUUAAGCAAAUCCUUAAAAGAUACCUCAGUUCGGAUUGCACUCUGCAACUCGAGUGCAUGAAGCUGGAAUUACUAGUAAUCGUGGAUCAGCGUGCCACGGUGAAUGCGUUCCCGGGUCUUGUACACACCGCCCGUCACACCAUGGGAGUUGGUUCUACCUUAAGGCAAGGUUUAAAACCCUUGACCACGGUAUAGUCAGCGACUGGGGUGAAGUCGUAACAAGGUAACCA